GACGAACGCUGGCGGCGUGCCUAAUACAUGCAAGUUGAGCGCUGAAGGUUGGUACUUGUUCCAACUGGAUGAGCAGCGAACGGGUGAGUAACGCGUGGGGAAUCUGCCUUUGAGCGGGGGACAACAUUUGGAAACGAAUGCUAAUACCGCAUAAAAACUUUAAACACAAGUUUUAAGUUUGAAAGAUGCAAUUGCAUCACUCAAAGAUGAUCCCGCGUUGUAUUAGCUAGUUGGUGAGGUAAAGGCUCACCAAGGCGAUGAUACAUAGCCGACCUGAGAGGGUGAUCGGCCACAGUGGGACUGAGACACGGCCCAAACUCCUACGGGAGGCAGCAGUAGGGAAUCUUCGGCAAUGGACGAAAGUCUGACCGAGCAACGCCGCGUGAGUGAAGAAGGUUUUCGGAUCGUAAAACUCUGUUGGUAGAGAAGAACGUUGGUGAGAGUGGAAAGCUCAUCAAGUGACGGUAACUACCCAGAAAGGGACGGCUAACUACGUG
rnacentral:rRNA from 1 species